rnacentral:rRNA from 1 species
GUGACGAGGAGCUUGCUCCUCUGAUCAGUGGCGAACGGGUGAGUAACACGUGAGUAACCUGCCCCAGACUCUGGGAUAACAGUUGGAAACAGCUGCUAAUACCGGAUACGAGACGGAGAGGCAUCUCUACCGUCUGGAAAGUUUUUCGGUCUGGGAUGGACUCGCGGCCUAUCAGCUUGUUGGUGAGGUAAUGGCUCACCAAGGCGACGACGGGUAGCCGGCCUGAGAGGGCGACCGGCCACACUGGGACUGAGACACGGCCCAGACUCCUACGGGAGGCAGCAGUGGGGAAUAUUGCACAAUGGGCGAAAGCCUGAUGCAGCGACGCCGCGUGAGGGAUGACGGCCUUCGGGUUGUAAACCUCUUUCAGCAGGGAAGAAGCGAAAGUGACGGUACCUGCAGAAGAAGCACCGGCUAACUACGUGCCAGCAGCCGCGGUAAUACGUAGGGUGCGAGCGUUGUCCGGAAUUAUUGGGCGUAAAGAGCUUGUAGCGGUUUGUCGCGUCUGCAGUGAAAAUCCGGGGCUCAACCCCGGACUUGCUGUGGGUACGGGCAGACUAGAGUGUGGUAGGGGAGACCG